rnacentral:rRNA from 1 species
GACGAACGCUGGCGGCGUGCUUAACACAUGCAAGUCGUACGGUAGGGCCCUUUCGGGGGUACACGAGUGGCGAACGGGUGAGUAACACGUGAGUAACCUGCCCACAACUUUGGGAUAACGCUAGGAAACUGGUGCUAAUACUGGAUAUGUGCUCCUGCUGCGUGGUGGGGGUUGGAAAGCUCCGGCGGUUGUGGAUGGACUCGCGGCCUAUCAGCUUGUUGGUGGGGUAGUGGCCUACCAAGGCGGCGACGGGUAGCCGGCCUGAGAGGGUGACCGGCCACAUUGGGACUGAGAUACGGCCCAGACUCCUACGGGAGGCAGCAGUGGGGAAUAUUGCACAAUGGGCGCAAGCCUGAUGCAGCAACGCCGCGUGCGGGAUGACGGCCUUCGGGUUGUAAACCGCUUUCAGCAGGGACGAAGCUUUUUGUGACGGUACCUGCAGAAGAAGCACCGGCUAACUACGUG